GAGUUUGAUCGUGGCUCAGAUUGAACGCUGGCGGCAUGCCUUACACAUGCAAGUCGAACGGCAGCACGGGAGCUUGCUCCUGGUGGCGAGUGGCGAACGGGUGAGUAAUGCAUCGGAACGUAUCCUGGAGUGGGGGAUAACGUAGCGAAAGUUACGCUAAUACCGCAUAUUCUGUGAGCAGGAAAGCGGGGGACCUUCGGGCCUCGCGCUCUUGGAGCGGCCGAUGUCGGAUUAGCUAGUUGGUGAGGUAAAGGCUCACCAAGGCGACGAUCUGUAGCAGGUCUGAGAGGAUGAUCUGCCACACUGGAACUGAGACACGGUCCAGACUCCUACGGGAGGCAGCAGUGGGGAAUUUUGGACAAUGGGGGCAACCCUGAUCCAGCCAUGCCGCGUGAGUGAAGAAGGCCUUCGGUU
rnacentral:rRNA from 1 species